UACGUAGGGGGCAAGCGUUUGUCCGGAAUUAUUGGGCGUAAAGAGCGUGUAGGCGGCCGUACAGGUCAGCUGUGAAAACUCGAGGCUCAACCUCGAGACGUCGGUUGAAACCGUACGGCUAGAGUCCGGAAGAGGAGAGUGGAAUUCCCGGUGUAGCGGUGAAAUGCGCAGAUAUCGGGAAGAACACCCGUGGCGAAGGCGGCUCACUGGACCGGUACUGACGCUGAGGCGCGAAAGCGUGGGGAGCGAACAGG
rnacentral:rRNA from 1 species